GUUGCAUUUGAAUCUUACUGACUUCCUGUACACGCAAGCUUCUGGAAGGCUGAAAUUGCGCCAAAAAUUGUGAGAUGUUUGUGGUGUUUAGAAGCUGGCUUGUUUGGAAUAUCUGUCCAGCUGAAAAAUGGCUCCAGCGGUUAAACAGGUGAUGGCAUGGCAGAAUGGCUUUAUGGAAACUUCAAGCAUAUGACUGCUUAAUUUUCUUCCACAAGGUUGAGACCAGUUUGCAGGUGAUGCUGAAGUUAUCAGAUCUACAGCACCAGUUGACAUACAGCCAACACUUAGUGUCUAUUUAAUUGUCAAAAGGAAUGUCUGUGCCUCCUUUGUUAAAACAGCCUUGAUGUUGCAUUUGAAUCUUACUGACUUCCUGUACACUCAAGCUUCUGGAAGGCUGAAAUUGCGCCAAAAAUUGUGAGAAAUUUGUGGCGUUUAGAAGCUGGCUUGUUUGGAAUAUCCUUUCCAGCUGAAAAAUGGCUCCAGCGGUUAAACAGGUGAUGGCAUGGCAGAAUGGCUUUAUGGAAACUUCAAGCAUAUGACUGCUUAAUUUUCUUCCACAAGGUUGUGAGACCAGUUUGCAGGUGAUGCUGAAGUUAUCAGAUCUACAGCACCAGUUGACAUACAGCCAACACUUAGUGUCUAUUUAAUUGUCAAAAGGAAUGUCUGUGCCUCCUUUGUUAAAACAGAUCUAGCAAUAUGAAGCGAGAGGCCAUAAUGUACAAAGAGGUCUUCACCUCAACUGCGUUUGCUGACAUCCAGGCUGCAAGUUGGUUAUCCGGUCAAGCUGCUGUUUGCUGCAUGAAAAGGACACAUCUGCUGCUCAAGAUCUGCUACGUCAUUCUGCUGCACAAGAUGAGAUUUCGCUGGGACACCAUUCAAGUAUGCCAAGGAUUCAACCAGAUUCGUCAGACGUC